UACGUAGGGAGCUAGCGUUGUUCGGAAUCACUGGGCGUAAAGCGCACGUAGGCGGAUUUGCCAGUCAGGGGUGAAAUCCCGGGGCUCAACCUCGGAACUGCCUUUGAUACAGCAAGUCUUGAGUUCGAGAGAGGUGGGUGGAAUUCCUAGUGUAGAGGUGAAAUUCGUAGAUAUUAGGAAGAACACCGGUGGCGAAGGCGGCCCACUGGCUCGACACUGACGCUGAGGUGCGAAAGCGUGGGGAGCAAACAGGG
rnacentral:rRNA from 1 species